rnacentral:rRNA from 1 species
CAGUCGCCGCGGUAAUACGUAGGGUGCGAGCGUUAAUCGGAAUUACUGGGCGUAAAGCGUGCGCAGGCGGUUGUGUAAGACAGGUGUGAAAUCCCCGGGCUUAACCUGGGAACUGCGCUUGUGACUGCACAGCUAGAGUAUGGCAGAGGGGGGUAGGAUUCCACGUGUAGCAGUGAAAUGCGUAGAGAUGUGGAGGAAUACCGAUGGCGAAGGCAGCCCCCUGGGCCAAUACUGACGCUCAUGCACGAAAGCGUGGGGAGCAAACAGGAUUAGAUACCCGGGUAGUCCCUGUCUCUUAUAC